AGCUCCAAUAGCGUAUAUUAAAGUUGUUGCGGUUAAAAAGCUCGUAGUUGGAUUUCUGCUGAAGUUGACCGGUCCACCUUUGGUGCGUAUCUGGUUCGACUGAAGCUUUUUCUAGUUUAGUUCUCGCUUAAUUGUGUGUAUGAUACUAGAGUUUUACUUUGAGGAAAUUAGAGUGUUUCAAGCAGGCGUUUGCCUUGAAUACUUUAGCAUGGAAUAAUAAUAUAAGACUUCUGUUCUAUCUUGUUGGUUCUAGAACUGAAGUAAUGAUUAAUAGGGACAGUCGGGGGCAUUCGUACUUAACUGUCAGAGGUGAAAUUCUUGGAUUUGUUAAAGACGAACUACUGCGAAAGCAUUUGCCAAGGAUGUUUUCAUUG
rnacentral:rRNA from 1 species